rnacentral:rRNA from 1 species
GACAGAGGGUGCAAACGUUGUUCGGAAUUACUGGGCGUAAAGCGUGCGCAGGCGGUUUUGUAAGCCAGAUGUGAAAUCCCCGGGCUUAACCUGGGAAUGGCAUUUGGGACUGCAAGGCUUGAGUUUGGCAGAGGAGACUGGAGUUCCUGGUGUAGCAGUGAAAUGCGUAGAUAUCAGGAGGAAUACCGAUGGCGAAGGCAGGUCUCUGGGCUAGAACUGACGCUCAUGCACGAAAGCGUGGGGAGCAAACAGG